UUAGGAAUCUUGCACAAUGGGCGAAAGCCUGAUGCAGCGACGCCGCGUGAAGGAUGACGGCCUUCGGGUUGUAAACUUCUUUUAUCAGGGAAGAAAAAAAUGACGGUACCUGAUGAAUAAGCCCCGGCUAACUACGUGCCAGCAGCCGCGGUAAUACGUAGGGGGCGAGCGUUGUCCGAAUUUACUGGGCGUAAAGCGCGCGUAGGCGGACUUUUAAGUCGGUGGUGAAAUCUCAGGGCUCAACCCUGAAACUGCCGCCGAAACUGGGAGUCUUGAGGUAUGGAGAGGGAAGUGGAAUUCCUGGUGUAGCGGUGAAAUGCGUAGAUAUCAGGAGGAACACCCGUGGCGAAGGCGGCUUCCUGGCCAUAAUCUGACGCUGAGGUGCGAAAGCUAGGGGAGCGAACGGG
rnacentral:rRNA from 1 species